UGAAAAAGAAAUUGCACUUUGCCUUUAAUAAAUAGCUAUGUAAACUGUUGAAAUGUGAAGUAAUUAUUUCAAGCAUAUUAAACUUAUUUAUAUAAAUAAAUGCUUUCCUAACCUUCAGUUCAAAAACAGCGGUUUUUGGAAAAGCAAAGACGGAAACUCACAUAUAAAAUGAACUACUUUAGCGGAUAUGGGUUACCACGGUUUAGCAAGGAUCUAACUUCAGAAUUUCAACUAAAACCAGAGUCUACAGAUCGUUUCGUUCAAGUGACUAGAACUUCAGGACGCUGGAGAGAUUUAGUAGACCCAAACAAUGAUUCAAACAACACAUACAUUUACAAAGGAUCCCAGUCAACAGAACUGGACGGCAAACAAAAGAAUUCCAAAAUAAAGUUGUAUGUGGCGAUUUUGAUACUUUUUAUUUUCCUGAUCGUUUCCUGCAUUGGAG